UAAAACUAAGCAUUGGUAAGCUCCAUCCUGCAAACCAAUACAAGCUCUUUGAUUUAAAUAUAGCCAUCGAUCAACAUGUGUAUAUGCAUCAAAUGUGGAUGCUUUAGCUGCAAAAAUACAAGCGGCGAGCGAGACGAGAAAGGGGGAGCGGCGGACUGUGUUGAUAUUAUGCUCGCAAUCUUGUUACAUCCUGCUGGGGUUUAUAAAAAAGAAGGCUGUACGGGACGAUUCCGGGCAAAUGUAGUAUUGACAAUAUUAGGAAUUGCUCCAGGAAGCAUCCACGCUGUCAUUUGCAUAUUAGGCAAAUGAAAUGGAUUUUCGAAUUAAAAAUUUACAAUUUAAAAUUUAAGAUUUUGAGUAAAUCGGGUUGAAUAACCUUCUCACUAUUAUUGUACCAUUGCAUCUUAUCAAUUGUUUGUGCUUGCCAAUUAGGCUCCCUUUUUACAUCUAUGUUUGGUUGAGUGAA